rnacentral:rRNA from 1 species
CACGUAGGGUGCGAGCGUUGUCCGGAAUUAUUGGGCGUAAAGAGCUCGUAGGCGGUGUGUCGCGUCGGCCGUGAAAACCUGCAGCUUAACUGUGGGCUUGCGGUCGAUACGGGGCAUCACUGGAGUUCGGCAGGGGAGACUGGAAUUCCGUGGUGUAGCGGUGAAAUGGCGCAGAUAUCAGGAGGAACACCGGUGGCGAAGGCGACUCACUGGCCCG